rnacentral:sRNA from 1 species
CCGCCAGAAGGUUUUUUUGACAGUCAGUUCUUUGCCUGUCCAGCAGAAUGUCGUUGGCUUCUGAGUUACACUGUGAACAUGAUGUACGCUGCGCCUGGUUUUUGCAGGGAAUUAAACGGACUGUAGAUCCAUCGGUCACCUGGUGGGGAAAGCUGAUGGCCCUGAAGACAAACUAAGGAGAUGAGAAGAAUAACAUCUUCUUAGUGAGAUAAUAUGCUCAUGCCUCCUCCCCCAGGAAGCCCCUCGGCAAUGCAGUUGCCUACAGAUCUUCAUUGCUAAGUCUGCUUGCUCUUCUGAGUUCUAACUCAAAAACAGUGUAAUUUGGCUGCUAGACCUCCUAUGGCCUCGUCCCCCACCAUGAUGUCAACGUUUCGAAAGGGACUGGUUGCUAGAAAUAUGUGCGAGCGCCUCUCUGAAUCACCACUCCAUCCAAUUCCCUUCCUUAUCUAACAUAUUGGGGCUGACAUAUUGGAAGUUUGAGAGUUCCUACAUGUGGUCUUAAGGCACCAACACAGAUGCAUGCUGGAUUUACUUAACCUCCCCAUUUCUUCAUAGGCUCCUGCUCCGAGGGCUAAAGGUUAUGUUUUAGGUUUUAAUCACUGUGCUUAAGAGAUCUAUAAAGCAAAACUACCUCUAACCUGUAAAGUCCACUUGCCCAAGGGCAGAUAAACCUGUAAGCCCCACUUGACCGAGGACAGAUACCUUCUUGGAAUGCUGGGGGCCAUUGUUCAUUAAGGCAGCAAAUCGAAGAUUUUCACGACUGUAGACAAGGUUGGUCGCCCCAACUGGACAGGAUGUCCUUGAUCACACAUAGGCAGGAAGUACUUCACGAUGAAUGCUUGCCCCGAAUUGGACAAAGGUGGAAAGUACAUAGCCUUGUGGGUUUUGCCUUUAUAACCACCUGACUAACAUAAUUCACAGUCAUUCUCUGGAAAUCCUGGAUUUGGA